CGGGUUACAAGUUUUUCCUGACAUUGCCUCAAGCCCUCCUUGCACAACCCUCUCAUCAAUGAAAGCCAAUAAAGUUUAUAAAAAAAAAAAAAAAAAAGAAAGAAACAAACAAACAAACAAACAAAACUAAAAAACCCUAAACAACAACAACAACAAAAAACCACGUACAAAAAAAGAGUAACUUUAGGUUGUCCGCGGAAAGCCUCAAAAAAUGUCAACAAGUGCUGAGUCAGGAAAUUCUCCCCUAAUAGCUUUUGUUGGAAACGUUUAACAUUUCAACUUUAUCUCUUCUUUUCUUUCAGAAGUAUUCAAAAGCAACAAUACCAUCAUUCAGGACUUCUGGCUCCCUGAGGACUAGACCUGAGCCAUGGCCAGCAAACACCCUUUAGAAUCAGACCAGUGGACCAGGCAAACACUCUAAGGAACUGCUUUUCUUCAGCCCUUCUGAGCUGGGGGAAAGAAGGACCCCACGUCUGAUACACCAGUGCCUGUUGCCAUCUGGCCAUCGAAGAGAGUGUCCCCUCUAUAGGGACUGCUUAGCGUCCAGACGCACACCAAGACCUGAGGUAUCAUCUUUGGCAGUGGGCAGGAAAUACCAAGGAACUUCCUUCAUGGGCCCUUGGAUGCCUCCCAGAGACUCAUGGUCACCCUCACAUCAUAGGACAAGAAAGAGUUCAGCCUACAGAGACUGUGGACUUUCAGCCCUUCUCCUCUCAGCCAUCCCACUCAGAGCCCAAGAGCUCAUCGACUCCUCAUUCUACUGGGCAUCCCUGCAGUGAGACAGUUCCCGUGGACACCAAGCUGACACCACCCUCACAGGUAGGAUGUCCGCUAUCUCAGCCUCUUUGCAGCACCCUACCAAUGCCAAAUGAGAGUGGGGUGAUCUCAGGGCUGGGCCCUGGUGACUGGUCC
rnacentral:lncRNA from 1 species